CCUACGGGUGGCAGCAGUGAGGAAUAUUGGUCAAUGGGCGGAAGCCUGAACCAGCCAAGUCGCGUGAGGGAUUAAGGCCCUGCGGGUCGUAAACCUCUUUUGCCGGGGAGCAGUGGUCCGGACGCGUCCGGACCGGGAGAGUACCCGGAGGAAAAGCAUCGGCUAACUCCGUGCCAGCAGCCGCGGUCAUACGGAGGAUGCGAGCGGUAUCCGGAUUUAUUGGGUUGAAAGGGUGCGUGGGGGGGCAUUUAAGCCGUCGGUCAAAUGUCGGGGCUCAACCCCGGCCUGCCGUCGGAACUGGGUGCAGUGAGUGGGCGAGAAGUAUGCGGAAUGCGUGGUGUAGCGGUGAAAUGCAUAGAGAUCACGCAGAACCCCGAUUGCGAAGGCAGCAUACCGGCGCCCUACUGACGCUGAGGCACGAAAGUGCGGGUAUCGAACAGGAUUAGAGACCCGGGUAGUC
rnacentral:rRNA from 1 species